rnacentral:rRNA from 1 species
AUGCCCGCAAAAGAUUUGGAGGAGAUUAAGAAGCAGAUUAAGGAGUUACUGGAUAAAGGCUAUAUUCGCCCAAGUUCUUCACCUUGGGGAUCGCCAGUGCUUCUAGUGGAGAAGAAGGAUGGAUCGUUAAGGAUGGUUGUUGAUUAUCGAGGACUGAAUGAAGUGACCAUCAAGAACAAGUACCCACUGCCGAUGAUCAAUGAUUUGUUUGACCGAUUGCAAGGAGCUAAGGUAUUUUCCAAGAUCGAUCUGCGAUCGGGAUACCAUCAGUUGAAGAUUCGAGAGCAGGAUAUACCUAAGACGGCUUUUACCACCAGGUAUGGGCUAUAUGAGUAUACCGUUAUGUCAUUUGGUCUGACUAACGCACCUGCUUAUUUCAUGAACCUGAUGAACAAAGUGUUUAUGGAGUUUCUGGAUAAGUUCGUCGUAGUAUUCAUUGAUGACAUUUUGGUCUACUCAAAGAACGAAGAGGAGCAUAAGGAGCAUUUGCGUUUGGUACUUGAGAAGAUCAGAGAACAUCAGUUAUACGCCAAGUUCAGCAAAUGUGAGUUUUGG